UUUUAUGGAGAGUUUGAUCCUGGCUCAGGAUGAACGCUGGCGGCGUGCCUAAUACAUGCAAGUCGAGCGAACGGACGAGAAGCUUGCUUCUCUGAUGUUAGCGGCGGACGGGUGAGUAACACGUGGAUAACCUACCUAUAAGACUGGGAUAACUUCGGGAAACCGGAGCUAAUACCGGAUAAUAUUUUGAACC
rnacentral:rRNA from 2 species